CUUUAGCCCAGAUAGGAGCGGCAUCCUCUUGUAUGGCGGAGGCCAAUACAAGAGAUAUAGCGGAUAGCUGGAAACCCU
rfam:Flavobacterium succinicans strain DD5b FLB_contig000035, whole genome shotgun sequence.